UGUUGAAAUUAUAGUUGCGCAGGCACUUUGAUGUCUCUAGAGAACCUCGGGCCAAUUGCACAUCCCCGUGGUGGCGACUUUGCAUGCGGAUGUCAUCCAUAUCAACUUUUGAUGCCAGUUUCUGCGGCUACCAUGGUGAGCGCAGGUAACGGGGAAUCAGGGUUCCAUUCCGUACAGGGACCCUGAGAAACGGUAACCACAUGCAAGGAAGGCAGCAGGUGUGCAAAUGACCCACUGCCGACCUGGGAAGGUAGUGACGACA